GACACAACUGGCCUGGUUCCCUAGCUGAUGGGAGGCAGGGCCCCUGAUACUCACUUGCUUUGCUCAGAACCUUCCCCGAAGGAGGGGCUGAGCCCAGGGAGGGGGCAUCAGGGAUGCACUGGGCAGGGACCAGAUGCCACAGACUUACGCUCAUGUUCAUAAAAACGUGCCACACAGCAGUUCUAAAGUCAUCACUGUGAUGUACCAGGUACGUUAGCAGAAAGGGCUUCAUUUAGGGACCAAGAUUGCCCACACACCUUGCCCUCCAGCUUUCUAAAAUUUCCCAUGAUGGAACAUGGCAAGUGUCACAAAUGGAAACCAUCUCCAAGUCCAGAAUUGUCAAGGAAAAGUUUUCAGGAGUUCAGGAGCUAAGAAGACUCCAGGAAGCUUCUAGCAGGCGAUAACCAGGGGCCACCCCUAUGUGUGAUAGUACAGUGCUUCCUCCUCCAGCGACUCCUCCAGUGAUCAGGCUUGUUCACUGAUGACCGCUUCCAAGGCAGUUGUAAGCAAAAAGGAUCCAUUAGCUGUGUCUGGAGAAGUCAGCUAUUUUUACCUACUGGAGUGAAAAACAGUUUUCUCUCUUGAUAUCCGUAUGUGAUUUUUUGUGAAAAAAAUAAAAUCACAUUUUAUUUCUUAUCAUUUGCCUAAAGUCAAAUAAAAGGUCACUCUAUCUUUU
rnacentral:lncRNA from 1 species